rnacentral:misc_RNA from 1 species
GUGGUGCCUUGCUAAAACAUAUCAUUCAGAAGCGUUCUUUGCAAUGUCCUGAUGACACUUUGCUGGAUAUAGCCUCCAAGUGUGAUGGAUAUGAUGCAUAUGAUCUGGAGAUACUGGUUGAUAGGUCUGUUCAUGCUGCAACUGCCCGGUUUUUGUCUAGUGAUUUGGCUGUUGGCAGUCAGGAAAAACCUGUUCUGUUUCAGGAUGAUUUCCUGCGUGCCAUGCAUGAGUUUGUUCCAGUGGCUAUGCGUGACAUCACUAAACCUGCUGCUGAUGGUGGCCGGUCUGGCUGGGAGGAUGUUGGAGGUCUUAAUGACAUCCGGAAUGCUAUUAUAGAGAUGAUUGAGUUGCCGUCCAAAUUUCCAAAUAUAUUUGCACAAGCUCCUCUAAGGAUGAGGUCUAAUGUUCUGUUAUAUGGCCCCCCUGGUUGUGGCAAAACACACAUUGUUGGUGCUGCAGCUGCUGCAUGCUCACUAAGAUUUAUCUCAGUCAAAGGUCCUGAACUGCUGAAUAAAUACAUUGGUGCUUCUGAGCAAGCUGUA